UGGGGAAUAUUGCACAAUGGGGAAGACCCUGAUGCAGCGACGCCGCGUGAGUGAAGAAGUAUUUCGGUAUGUAAAGCUCUAUCAGCAGGGAAGAACAUGACGGUACCUGACUAAGAAGCCCGCUACUACGUGCCAGCAGCCGCGGUAAUACGUAGGGGCGAAGCGUUAUCCGGAUUUAUUGGGUGUAAAGGGUGCGUAGACGGGAAUGCAAGUUGGUUGUGAAAUCCCUCGGCUCAACCGAGGAAUUGCAACCAAAACUAUAUUUCUUGAGUGCUGGAGAGGGAAGUGGAAUUCCUAGUGUAGCGGUGAAAUGCGUAGAUAUUAGGAGGAACACCAGUGGCGAAGGCGACUUUCUGGACAGUAACUGACGUUGAGGCACGAAAGUGUGGGGAGCAAACAGGAUUAGAUACCC
rnacentral:rRNA from 1 species